rnacentral:rRNA from 1 species
GCUGCAUGGCUGUCGUCAGCUCGUGUCGUGAGAUGUUGGGUUAAGUCCCGCAACGAGCGCAACCCUUGUCAUUAAUUGCCAUCAUUCAGUUGGGCACUUUAAUGAGACUGCCGGUGACAAACCGGAGGAAGGUGGGGAUGACGUCAAGUCCUCAUGGCCCUUAUGGGUAGGGCUUCACACGUCAUACAAUGGUCGGUUCAGAGGGUUGCCAACCCGCGAGGGGGAGCCAAUCUCAGAAAGCCGAUCGUAGUCCGGAUCGCAGUCUGCAACUCGACUGCGUGAAGUCGGAAUCGCUAGUAAUCGCGGAUCAGCAUGUCGCGGUGAAUACGUUCCCGGGUCUUGUACACACCGCCCGUCACACCAUGGGAGCGGGUUCUGCCAGAAGUAGUUAGCCUAACCGCAAGGAGGGCGAUUACCACGGCAGGGUUCGUGACUGGGGUGAAGUCGUAACAAGGUAGCCGUAGGGGAACCUGCGGCUGGAUCACCUCCUUUCU